rnacentral:tRNA from 4 species
UCCGAAGUAGCUCAGUGGUAGAGCAAUCGGCUGUUAACCGAUCGGUCGUAGGUUCGAAUCCUACCUUCGGAGCCA